GAGGCCGGACGAUGUCGCGGCUGUGCGUUACCGGAGCAGCGCGAGGAAGGCCGUCGGCUCCACGUCGGGGAUGUGAACCUCGUGGCCGCUCUCGGCGAGGCCGCCGUAGAACAUGGCGUAGAACACCGAGCUGCCCACCGCCAGCACGUACUGCCGAGACACAGACAAGCGCCGUUAGCGAGGAGGGGCGGCACCCGCGAAGGCCGGCGCGGCACACGAGCGGGUGGGUGGGUGGCCGGCACCACGCCCGGCCGCCUUUGUCUCCCCGGUGCCGAAGCUUACGACACACCGCACCAGAUGUUGGUAAAGUGGCACAGAAACCACUGCAAGCAAUGCAAAUUGGUCUACUCCUAAAUACACGUGAACCCAAGAACCAGCCAUGAUGAUGCAUGGCCGGCUUGUGGAGAGGGGCCCUCCCCUACUCCUGGGUUGUGACUCAGCUCACGGAAUCGUUAUCGGUAAAUACUGAGCCAAAGCGCGGCAAGAAAUGAAAGCCGACGCGCAAACUGACUGCAUAAAUAAAGAA